CGUCGUCCUGCGUACUUUGCGGAAAGGCGUAUCGAAGCUCGAUGUCGCACUGAAGGAUUUACGGAUCCGAAGAUAUUCAAGUAUUUGGGGACUAUCCGGAGAGUCAACAGACCAGUCAUGCAGGCCAGAGUAGGAGACGCGAAAUUAGCCGCCAUCCAGAGACUGGGCAUGCAGAGCACUUCGGUCGGACAGCGGCAUUCGCCGGGACUCGACCUGAGCCAUGGAUUCAUGAAGAAAAUCCAGCGGCUGCAGAUGGAGCAACGACGACAGCUUGCACUAAAGAACGCUGCUAGUGCGAGUGCUGCACUCCGGGCCGCAGGUUCCCAAAGGUCAACCAAGCCGACCUUGCAGAUAUACAGGCCACCCGGUG